AGUUGUGGCGAAUUACAAUUAACAAGUUCGCUCUAUUGAAAAAUUAAAUUAAGGUUCCGAAUGGUGAUUGCGUUUUGUGGUGUGGAAAAAGUGCGAUGCGAUUCAAAUAAUAACGAAAAUACAUAGAUACAUAUGUAUAUGUAGAGAUUUUGAUACUGUUACAACACUGUUGUAGUGCGGUUUUGGAUGCGGUUUUGGUUACCAUUCACAGCUUAAGUAUGGGCAAUCGAAAUAUUGGACCAAGAUACGUAAAGCGGUAUCAGUACUCAUAAUGUUCAAAGUCAAAGUCAAGUAAAACAAAAUGAAUU
rnacentral:sRNA from 1 species